UACGUAGGGUGCAAGCGUUGUCCGGAAUUAUUGGGCGUAAAGAGCUCGUAGGCGGCUUGUCGCGUCGGCUGUGGAAAACCUGGGGCUCAACCCCGGGCCUGCAGCCGAUACGGGCAAGCUAGAAUUCGGUAGGGGAGACUGGAAUUCCUGGUGUAGCGGUGAAAUGCGCAGAUAUCAGGAGGAACACCGGUGGCGAAGGCGGGUCUCUGGGCCGAUAUUGACGCUGAGGAGCGAAAGCGUGGGGAGCGAACAGG
rnacentral:rRNA from 1 species